UGCCCAUGCCAGGUGGGUUCAAGCUUAAGGUAUCAGUGUGGCAUACUUGUCAGGGUUGGGAGGUUGUGUUUUCACAGUAUCUCAGCAUGCUUUUCAGCUUUGUUUCUUUGCAGGUGCUGUCGCUGCCCUAGUCAUGCCGAGGAAGAGAGGAGGGCAGGUGACUCGGGGUUUAGGCAGGCUGAUUCCUAGGUGAGCGUUAUGCAGCAGCAUGCUAAGUGUGUACAUUUUCUUUUUGCAGGUAUCUUCUGGGCGGCCUCUGGAGUCAAACCAAGACUUGAGGUACCCUGGGGAGGCUUGUAGCCACAGCUUGGAAGCGGCAGCACCGAAGCACACACAUUGAGAACAUCUCAACGUGCACGUCCGACCGAGGAUGGAUUUUGUCCGCUUGUCUUCCAAAAGCUAAGUGUUGGGGCCAGUGGUUGGGAGAAGGGGAAAAGCCUUUACUAUCACAGGAGGCAAUCUGAUGUCAGCUUAGCAGAGAGGUCUGUAGUGGGACGGGCUCUCUGGAAGUAAAGGGAGAGGGUUUCUCCUCAGCCUCACCAGACCCUUUGCCGGGCAGGGCAGUUCCUACCCAUAUCCACAUUCUUGUGAACUUUGCGUCAUCUGCCUUCCUCGACUUGAUGUCGUCAUGGCUCUUUCCCCCGAGGAGCUCGCCUUCAGGUCCGGAGCUGUAGCCGCAGUCACCUGGCAGUCCGCUUCCUUCUCUAGGCUUGCUGAGCCUCUCGAGCAUCCUCCUAACUGCUUUGGCCCUAAGUUCCUUUAAUGAGUUACAUUUCAUCAUCACGUGCUGCUGUCAUAGGGCUUCCUUUCCCUUGGCCUCAUCGGCCUCUGGCUCGUCUUGUGCUAGGACUCUCAGGUCCCUAAAGGGAAAGUGCCAAGCAGUUGCAACUUGUCUCUGUGUUAUGUCGUAUGUGUCUGUUAUGGUGUCUGUGUUAUGUAGUGUGUGUCCAUUGUCUUCCACAUCAUAGGCCUUUGUUACAUCUCGAUGCUUUAUUGGCUCUCUUCUGUGCCAUAUAGGCCGUGUUCUACUCACAUUCCUUUCCGGAUAUCCCUUAUUCCAGCAUCUUUACAUUUGUACUCAUUGAGAUGGGAAUGUCUCACAGGGACAAGAUGUUCUCAUCCAUCUUCCUUCUUACUAUCAGGUUUGGUAGUGCCUUUUUUUCCAUUUUCUUGGACUUCUAGAGGGAGCAUCUUACACCCUCCUCACGUGACUGCAGUAGUUCUAUAGGUUGCAUCUUCUCAAAGGGUAUAAGUAAUCUUCCAGAGAGUUAUGUUAAGUUGUGGUUUAUAUUGUGUGUACCUAUGCUGGCUUAUACUGUAUGUACUUAUAAGGCGAUGCACUUACAUACAGUAUAUUGUCUGUACUUACUCUGUAUGUAAGCAUGUCGCCUUAUAUUGUCUGUACUUACACUCUAUGUACACUUGCGCUGUAUGCGUCAGCUUAUAUUGUGUGUACUUACACUGUACCACUUAGGAUUGAAGCUGCCCUGCCCUGGACUGUAGUCACAGUUAGGUAGAACAGUUAUAUCAACUUUACUGUUCAUCUGUCUUUUGUGGGAUUUUGAGUAGAAAAUAUAUCCAUCCACAGUGGGGACAAGUCCUAGCUGUCAGCCACUUGUUGACCCUUCCUGUCAUCUCACAGGUCCCUGAGGCUGCUGAUUUCCCCAGGAUCUGCCAUUUACCUCAAGGAGCAGCAGCCAGAAGAUGUGUCAAAGCACCUUCUUCAGCAUCUCCGGAUACUCAGAAAAUAUGUCUCCCUUAGAGUCCCACAGAAACGUUCUCAGUGCGAUCUCUAUCAAGUGCUAUGAGUCUUGAUCAAUUGGAGAAGAGCCCAAGAGAAAUUUUUCAUCCCUUGAUAUAAAAGGGAUCGGUGAAUUUUAACUUUGGAGUCCCCUAUGCUAAGGAUGCUCAGCUUACAGGUGAUGAAAUGUUCAGUAAUGUAUUUGCUGCAGCUCUGCUUACCCAAGCUUUGGGUUCCUUCUGUCCCACUGGGAGUUGCCCAAUUUGGUUGCAUCUGGUGAAAUUCACCCUGAGACCUUACAGAAGCAGCUCCAACUACGUGAGAGCCAUUUGCAGUUCUCUCCAGACGCCUGGAGAAUGGGCGACGUUUCUGAGGAUCCGGCGAGCGUGCUUCUGUCAAAACUCAGUCUGUGAAAUUCCUGGGGAAAACCCUUCUGUGUCCUGAAGGGUUCAAACUCUGGUGAGGAUCCAGUUAUCAGGUGCUCACCUGGAUGGUUCCAGCUCCCAAAGGGAAAGACUCUCGUAUCCUUGUCGUCGGGCUCAGUGCUGUCCAAGAAGAUACAGAGACUAAAAAAAUCAUAAGAAGCAAAAUAUGACUGCAGGGAAAAGAAGCUGGAGAGAACAGAAGACUCAUCACGGCGGGACAGCGUGAAGACUGAAAGUGUAAGAAGAUGUGGAGGGAAAGAGAGAAUCUGACAGGAGCAUCGGACGCACGAGUGCAGGAAUUUUGCUUUUUUGCUUGGAUGUAAACUCAGGCGUUGAAAGGAAUUUGGGAGUGAGAAGGGACAUUUCAGAAGAAGAAGCAAAAGAAGUUG